rnacentral:rRNA from 1 species
GAUGAACGCUGGCGGCGUGCUUAACACAUGCAAGUCGGACGGGGAGGGGUGUUUCCUGUGGCGGACGGGAGAGUAACGCGCAAGAACCUGCCCUUGGGAGGGGAACCACAUCUGGGAGCGGCUACUAAUACACCCUAGGCUUAAGAGCACAUGAAGGAAUCCGCCAGAGGAGGGGCGCGCGUAUGAUUAGCUAGCUGCUGAGGCAAUAGCUUACCAAGUCGAUGAUCAGGUGCGGGUGGGAGAGGCUGAUCAGCCACACUGGGACUGAGACACCGCUCAGGCUCCUACGGGAGGCAGCAGUAGGGAAUUUUCCGAAAUGGGCGAGAGCCUGACGGAGCAAUGCCGCGUGGAGGUAGAAGGCCUACGGGUACUGAACUUCUUUGCGCAGAGAAGAAGAAAUGACGGUAUCUGGGGAAAAAGCAUCGGCUAACUCUGUG